UUAACAUCUUAGUGAAGAAAAAGGAAUCUGUAUCUCUGAAGUAUUUUCUCUUAUUCAUUAGCGGUAGGGUCCCAGAGGGGAAUGCUCACUAUCUGCUUUUAUUCUAUUUCUUGCUAGCAAAAGAAAAAACAACAUAUAUGGCCAUGGCAUAUGAGCUAUAAGAACACAGAUAAAGUGGAUACUUUAUAGGAAUGGCUUCUACACAAAAUACUAGAAGUCAAGAGAUUCUCUUCAAGAAGUCUAUUCUCAACUCUGCCUCAAAUAUCGAGUGACAAAUCACAAUCUCUGUUUGAAAUCAAUGGGAGCUAUAGGUAUCGCCCCCCUGAAAAUCAGGCCAUGGGAGAUGAUGAAAGCAUGAAUAACUGAGGCCAGGUCAUUAUCCAUCAAGAAAGGAUGUGGUCUCCUAAGAAAGCAUUACUUGGAGAUGCAGAUAUGUGAGAUGUCAGUCAAUGAGGAACCCAGGGGCACUCCUGAACUACAGUCUGAAUUGAUGGAUUGUGGGCAUGUACCUUCAACCAAAGGAAAGUGAACCAUGGCUACGAACUCUUCAUAGUACUUUCCUCUGCCAACCAGCAUCACCUGUGUCUUGUUUGGGUUUAACUUCAACUGGCUGUUCUUCAUCCAUGAGCCGAUAUUCUACAAGCACUGGGUCAUCUUGGUGGUAGUGGGAUGGUUACGAGUGGUGAAGGAUACGUAGAACUUUGUCAUCCUUAGGUUGUUGGCACUUGAGUCCAUAUUUGUCUGACCAGUUCACAUAGUGGCUGCAUGUAGAUAUUGAAUAGAACUGGAGAAAGAAUUGAUGCUUGUCUGGCAGGCAGACUUUUGUUUUAUGGGAGUGAGACAGAGCUCACUGUAUAACAUUCGUUUCAGGAGAGUAUGCCCAAAAAACUGCAUAAAAAUGCUUUGAAAUCUGAAAAAAAAAAAUCUGGAAUCCAGCAAAUAUCUAAAGACUUCACUAAAGGUGGCUCUCCAUCUCUUCUUCCACAAAAUGGCUAUCCUAGAAGACGCAUGCUGUGUGGAUACCUCUCUGUUUAGAUGCCAUCAACU